GGGCGCAUGGCGCAGUUGGUUAGCGCGCAACGUUGACAUCGUUGAGGUCAUAGGUUCGACUCCUAUUGCGCCCACCA
rnacentral:tRNA from 1 species